rnacentral:piRNA from 1 species
UUCUUAUCCGUGGAGAUGGGGUCU